GAUGAACGCUGGCGGCGUGCCUAAUACAUGCAAGUCGAGCGAACGGACGAGAAGCUUGCUUCCAUGAUGUUAGCGGCGGACGGGUGAGUAACACGUGGAUAACCUACCUAUACGAAUGGGGUAACUUUGGGAAACCGGAUCUUAUACCGGAUAAUAUUUUGAACCUCAUGGUUCAAAAGUGGAAGAAGGUCUUGCUGUCACUUAUAGAUGGCUCCGCGCUGCAUUAGCUAGUUGGUAAAGUAACGGCUUACCAAGGCAGCGAUGCAUAGCCGACCUGAGAGGGCGAUCGACCACACGUGAACUGAGACACGGACCCGAACCCGACGUGAGGCACGAGCAGGGAUUCUUCCGCAAGGAGCGAAAGCGUGACGUGGCAACGCCGCGAGAGUGAUGAAGGGCAUCGGAUCGUAAAACACUGUGAUUAGGGAAGAACAAAUGUGUAAGUAACGGUGCAAAUCUGGACGGUACCUAAUCAUAAAGCCCCGCCUACCUACUG
rnacentral:rRNA from 1 species